rnacentral:rRNA from 1 species
UACGGGGGGGGCAAGCGUUGUUCGGAAUUACUGGGCGUAAAGCGUGCGUAGGCGGUUCGUUAAGUCUGUCGUGAAAGCCCUGGGCUCAACCUGGGAAUUGCGAUGGAUACUGGCGAGCUAGAGUACGGUAGAGGAUGGUGGAAUUCCCGGUGUAGCGGUGAAAUGCGUAGAGAUCGGGAGGAACACCCGUGGCGAAGGCGGCCAUCUGGACCAGUACUGACGCUGAGGCACGAAAGCGUGGGGAGCAAACAGG